rnacentral:rRNA from 1 species
UACGUAGGCAGCAAGCGUUGUUCGGAAUUACUGGGCGUAAAGAGUGUGUAGGCGGUGCUCUAAGUCUGUUGUGAAAUCUCCCGGCUUAACUGGGAGGGUGGGCGGAGACUGGAGUGCUAGAGUGUGGGAGAGGUAAGCGGAAUUCCUGGUGUAGCGGUGAAAUGCGUAGAUAUCAGGAGGAACACCUGUGGUGUAGACAGCUUACUGGACCACGACUGACGCUGAGACACGAAAGCGUGGGUAGCAAACAGG